rnacentral:misc_RNA from 1 species
GAACGCACAUUGCGCCCCCUGGUAUUCCGGGGGGCACACCUGUUCGAGCGCCAUUUCUACCCUAGAGCCCUGCUCUGUGAUGGGCCCCGUCCUCGCGGACAGGCCCGAAACCCGUGGGCGCCGUCGUCCGGCCCUGAGCGUAGCAAGAGAAAUCCCUCGCUCGGAGUGUCUGUCGGUGGCCGCCUCGAAACCUAUUUUUACAAGGUUGGCCUCGGAUCAGGUGGGGAUACCCGCUGAACUUAAG